rnacentral:tRNA from 1 species
GGGGGUGUAGCUCAAUGGUAGAGCAGUUUCCAGCAUGUUCGAGCCUCUGGGUUCAAUCCCUAGUACCACCA